AAAAACAUGUCUUUUUGAGUAAUAAUUUAAAGUCUAAUCUGCCCACUGAUGUAAUAUUAAAGGGCUGCAGUAUAUUGACUGUACAAAGGUAGCAUAAUCAUUAGUCUUUUAAUUGAAGACUUGUAUGAAAGAUUUGAUGAAAUAUAAACUGUCUCUAAUUUAUUAAUAAAAAUUAAUUUUUUAGUUAAAAAGCUAAAAUAAAUAUAAAAGACGAGAAGACCCUAUAGAGUUUUAUAUUUUUUUAUAUUAUAAUUAAAUAUAUAAUUUAAAAUUUUAAUAAAAAAAAAUAUUUUGUUGGGGUGACAGAAAAAUUAAAUAAACUUUUUUUAAAAGUAAAACAUAAAUAAGUGAAUUUAUGAUCCAGUGUUAUUGAUUAAAAGAAAAAAUUACCUUAGGGAUAACAGCGUAAUUUUUUUUUUUAGUACAAAUAAAAAGAAAAGUUUGCGACCUCGAUGUUGGAUUAAGAUAAAAUUUAAAUGCAAAAGUUUAAAAUUUUGAUCUGUUCGAUCAUUAAAAUCUUACAUGAUCUGA
rnacentral:rRNA from 1 species